UAGCAAUUCUACUCCUUUAGUAAACUCCGCAACAUAUUCAGAACUCCUGAAGAGCCAUAUACAAAACCAGUAAGCUCAACAACUUUGCGGAAUAAUUCUUUAAAAACCCUUAUUUUAAAAAUAUCUUCCAAGAUCAAAUCUGUAUAAUGAGUUGCACAUGGAGUAUAGCAUAGAUGGGAAAAAUUUGCUUCCAACAUUCUUCUUGACAUAAACAA
rnacentral:misc_RNA from 1 species